UGAGUAACGCGUAAGCAAUCUGCCUAUUAGAGGGGAAUAACAAUGAGAAAUCAUUGCUAAUACCGCAUAUGCCAUAGAAACCACAUGGUUUUAGUGGGAAAGGAGAAAUCCACUAAUAGAUGAGCUUGCGUCUGAUUAGUUAGUUGGUGGGGUAACGGCCUACCAAGACGACGAUCAGUAGCCGGACUGAGAGGUUGAACGGCCACAUUGGGACUGAGAUACGGCCCAGACUCCUACGGGAGGCAGCAG
rnacentral:rRNA from 1 species